CCGCCCGCUCCUCUGGCCGCUCCCCCCGCAGCCGGCACCCCUCGCCCCCCCCAGCCCCCCCCCAACCCCACUUUGGGGGGCAAGGGGGGGCCCCCCCUGGCCGCCUACGCCCUCCCCGGUCCCGGCCCGCAGCGCCUUUUGCUGGCCCCCGACAUGCAGGCCCGCCUGCCUUCCGGCGAGGUGGUGAGCAUCGGGCAGCUGGCGGCGUUGGCCCAGCGGCCGGGGGGGACCCCAGGAGGGGCGACCCCGGGGGGGGGCCAAGCCCCUCACCCUGCAGUUGCAGGGCAGCAAACUCACCCUGGCUGCCCCCCCCGCUGCGGCACCUGGCCCUCGCCCCCCCCCCCGCGGCCUCCCACGGAACGUGGUGCAUCUGGUGGCGGCUGGGGGGCAGCACCCGCUCCUGGGCCCCCCCGCCCAGGUCACCCUGCUGGCACCCGUCGCCCCCCCGGCCCCCACAGGGGGUCCUCCUGCCGGGACCCCCCCCCAGCCCCCCACCAUUGGCCUCCCCAUUGCCACCGCUCAAGGUAAGGGGGGGGGGUUAU